UACGUAGGGAGCAAGCGUUGUUCGGAUUUACUGGGCGUAAAGGGCGCGUAGGCGGCAAAUUAAGUCAGCUGUGAAAUCUCCGAGCUUAACUCGGAACGGUCAGCUGAUACUGAUCUGCUAGAGUGCGGAAGGGGCAAUCGGAAUUCUUGGUGUAGCGGUGAAAUGCGUAGAUAUCGAGAGGAACACCUGAGGUGAAGACGGGUUGCUGGGCCGACACUGACGCUGAGUGCGCGAAAGCCAGGGGAGCAAACGGG
rnacentral:rRNA from 1 species